rfam:Felis catus isolate Cinnamon breed Abyssinian chromosome B2, whole genome shotgun sequence.
CCAAAGGCUCUUUUCAGAGCCGUCCACGUUUUCACAUGAAAGAGUU